rnacentral:rRNA from 1 species
UACGUAGGGUGCAAGCGUUAAUCGGAAUUACUGGGCGUAAAGCGUGCGCAGGCGGUUAUAUAAGACAGUUGUGAAAUCCCCGGGCUCAACCUGGGAACUGCAUCUGUGACUGCCCGGCUAGAGUGUGUCAGAGGGGGGUAGAAUUCCACGUGUAGCAGUGAAAUGCGUAGAUAUGUGGAGGAACACCGAUGGCGAAGGCAGCCCCCUGGGUCAAGACUGACGCUCGAUGCACGAAAGCGUGGGGAGCAAACAGG